rnacentral:rRNA from 1 species
UCGAAACCUGCUCAGCAGAACGACCCGCGAACGAGUUUAAUUUUCACUACUCUCGAACGGGUUGCGUCCUUUCCUUCGGGAAGGGGCUCGUCCCGAGCGAACAAUGAACCCCCGGCGCAGAACGCGUCAAGGAAUACCACAAUGAGACUGCUUGUUGCCUGUGCUCCGUUCGCGGAAUGCACGGGUGGUGUUGGCGUCUUACUUAACAAAAAAUGACUCUCGGCAACGGAUAUCUCGGCUCUCGCAUCGAUGAAGAACGUAGCGAAAUGCGAUACUUGGUGUGAAUUGCAGAAUCCCGUGAACCAUCGAGUCUUUGAACGCAAGUUGCGCCCGAAGCCGUCAGGCUGAGGGCACGUCUGCCUGGGCGUCACGCAUCGCGUCGCCCCCCUCCUCGRCCUUGUGCCGAGCCGUGGGGAGCGGAAGAUGGCCUCCCGUGCUCCUCCCCGGUGCGUGGUUGGCCCAAAUGCGAGUUCCUGACGACGGAUGUCACGGCGAGUGGUGGUCGUACCCUGCGUGCAUAUCGUCGCGCUGUGCCCCCGUCGUCCGCGGGACUAAUGACCCUUUUUGAGCCCCUCUACCGAGUCCGGCUCUUCGACCG